rnacentral:rRNA from 1 species
AAAGACCGCGUUGUUACCCGAAGUACGCUGUGCCAACGUCGCAAGAGAGGCAGGUGCCGAAGGUAUCGGGGUGGUGAUUGGGAGUG